rnacentral:rRNA from 1 species
UACGUAGGGGGCAAGCGUUGUCCGGAUUUAUUGGGCGUAAAGAGCGUGUAGGCGGCCAUACAGGUCAGCUGUGAAAACUCGAGGCUCAACCCUCGAGACGUCGGUUGAAACCGUAUGGCUAGAGUCCGGAAGAGGAGAGUGGAAUUCCCGGUGUAGCGGUGAAAUGCGCAGAUAUCGGGAAGAACACCCGUGGCGAAGGCGGCUCUCUGGGACGGUACUGACGCUGAGACGCGAAAGCGUGGGGAGCGAACAGG